UUUCAAAUUUUGUGUCGGUUUGAGUGGUAUUAACUGCUUGGUUGCCAAACAGUAAGUCCUUAGUUCUAAUACCAAUGAAGGAAUGAACAUUUUAACUUGAGAAAUUACUUGAGCUGAAUUGUAUUUUUCGAGUGUGUCCCUCAAUAAAUAAAUGGGAUGUGAUCCCACUCUGCCUCAGCAAGCUUUUGCGUCAAAGAGACAUGCAAAACAAAAUCAAGUAUUUCGUUUAUUUCCAAUGCUGGAUUGACCUCUAUGCCACAUAAGCUGAAGCUAGAGCCCACACUUGCUUGGGGGCCCCAAAAAAUUGUUUCAGUGAUAUCUUUUGAUCAUUUUAAAAAUAAGCAAAGGAAAAAUUGCCUACGCAUUUGUCAAAUAGCUUAGGGCCUUAUCAAAUCUAAAUCUGUUGCUGUUAAUUUCAGUACAAGACCAAAAAAAAAAAAAAAA